GAUGAACGCUGGCGGCGGGCCUAACACAUGCAAGUCGAGCGAAAAGACAAUGAGCGUGCUCCUCUGCGGUUAGCGGGUGACGGAUGAGUAACACAUGCAUAACCUACCUAUUUUACUGGGAUAACAUCGGGAGACCACUGCCAAUACCAGAUAACAUGAUCAACCGCUUGGUUCAACAGUUAAAGACGCUUUUGCUGACACUUAGAGAUGGUUCCGCGCCGCAUUAGCUAGUUGGUAAGGUAACGGCUUACCAAGGCAACGAUGCGUAGCUGACCUGAGAGGGUGAUCGGCCACACUGGAACUGAGACACGGUCCAGACUCCUACGGGAGGCAGCAGUGGGGAAUAUUAGACAAUGGGCGCAAGCCUGACCGAGCAAUGCCGCGUGGGUGAAGAAGGUCUUCGGAUCGUAAAGCUCUGUUAUUAGGGAAGAACAACAGUGUAAGUAUAUCUCGACGUGCUGACGGUACCUAAAGAAUAAGCACCGGCUAACUUCGUG
rnacentral:rRNA from 1 species